CUUGCAGAGGAGGAGGGGACAGGGGUUCAUGUGUUUAUGUAGGGACAUGUUUUCCAUCAGGGCUCUGAGUGGGAUACAAGGUGUACCUUUUGGAGGCAAGCUUGGGACUUCCUACAUGUUGAUUUUCCUCUCUCAAACUUAACGAGAUCAGAUAUUGGCAUUGAUUAUUCUGGCUCCCAAGGAGAUCCUGGAUCUGGAGAGAGGCCUAUUUCUAGAACUGGAUAUCUUUUUACAGGGGACAGUAGUCUAGUAGCCCUGUGCUAACAAGAACUGUUGGCCAUUCAGAAUGGAGACUCAGUGGAAGAAGCUGUCCUUACUCUGGCUGCUCAUUCUGGGGAUAUUUGCUCAGAGAAAGACCCAGGCAGCCUACCAUAAGCAUGAAAUGAAAUUCACUGCAGUGGGCACAUCCAAAGGCCUCUUGGAUUUAAUUGGUGUAGCCUUCAUUGAUGGCAUUCAAUGGGCUUCCUAUUACAAAUCAUCCCAGAAGAUUGUGGUGAAGCCAACCCAUAUAUAUGAGGCUUUGGGGGAGAAUUUUCUUAAGGAUAUGGACAAUGAAAUGAAAGACCAGGAGAGAGGUUACCACCACUUCAUCCAGUACUUGACAAGAAAUGACAAGACUGAGAGUAAUCACACAAUGCAGCUUUACUUAGAUUGUGAAUUAGAUGAAGACACCCAUUUGAGUAGCCUUGUAAAGUAUGGUUUUGAUGGAGAAGAUUUCAUUGAAAUAGAUGAACAUGGAAAAUGGAAGGUCUUGCACCCUUGGGCCCAUAGCUUUGAAGACUUUUAUGAAGGUCCUGACAUCGCCAAACUUUUAAAUAAGAAAUAUUGCAUUGGGGCCAUGCUGAAAAUCCUUCAGAAGUCAAGCAUGAAAGAAAGUCUACCACCUGAGGUGUAUGUGUCCCGCCAAGAAUUCCCUAAUGGCACUAUCAGCUUUUCUUGUACAGCCACAGGCUUCUACUCACAAUCCAUCCUGAUGCACUGGAAGAAGGGUGUUGAUGAAGCUAUUUUGGGGAAAGAGAGCUCUAGCAAUAUACUUCCCAAUUAUGAUGAUACCUUUUAUUGCCGAAUUUCCCUGGAGAUCCAGCCAGGAGAUAGUGGGACAGGUUAUGCUUGUGUGGUGAAUCACAGUCAUCUGGAGACACCAACUGUGUACCCUGUUCCUGAGAAGCCUUCCGAGGGGAAUAUUUGGGUUAUUGUCCUGAGCAUCCUGCUAGCAGCCAUUCUGAUGAUUAGCUGUUUUGUAAUCUUCAAGAAAUGGAGGAAGACAUAUUCAAGUUUGCACUGUUAGUGCCUCCAGUGAUCUUGGUAUCUGAAAAGGAAAUUCCUCUCAACCCGGUGAUCAUGGAUGCUGAGAACCACACAGUCUUUUGUGACUUUACUUUUUGUGAAUGAUGCAUGACCUGUGAACAGAUUACAGAAGGAAGUCAUGCUGAUGGAGCAUGAGAUGGUACAGACAUAAAUUUGUUGGGCAAAUGAAAACCCUUGGGAAAGUUAUUUGAGGGAAGAUAGAAUCUAUGUCUUUAUAACUAAUUCCUGAACCUGACUUUCAAUUCCUUUCCUUAGCUCUCUCAUUAUAAGGGGAAAAAAGAAAUGGACACUGGAAUCAUGGAAUGAUUUUUUCCUAGGAAUCUUUUCCACAGGAACAAGUACACAAGCUCAAAUGGAAGAAUCCUUUUCUUCUCCUGUUAUUAAUCUUCAGUGUGAAUUCAUCAGCCCACAGCCCUGGCACCAACCUAGUUGCUCUCUUCCUCAAAACUCCCACAUAUUUGUUAAAGGGAUCAUUUGUUGCACACCUAGGCACAAUCCUAAUCCUAUCUCUAAUUGGCCUCUCUAUGUAGGAAACAGGUCUGGGAUAGGACAUCUAAUGGACCUCCAUUAAAUAUGAGACACAGAGGGCUCAGUCCCCCUCAGUUUCUUUUGGCAAUGGGAAAAUUCAGACACAGGCCACAAGUAGUGUAAGAUAAAUUAAUGUGCAAUACUUCAAGUAUUAUUUUUAUAAAAUUUAUUAUUUGACAAAAUAGAGCCUUGUGACUUAGUCUUUCUACUUGCUCAAAAUCCCCUCUCCAAAAAAGCUGUAACAGGAAGGAAAGAGAGUAAAACACGGAACUCCACCCAAUUUAUAUCCUAUCUAUCUCAUCAGCAUAUAACAACAGGAAAUAAGUAGGGUGCUGGGAGUUGUAGUUUUUCUGGGGAUCAUAGUUUUUAAGAUAAAAGAUUCUAAUUACACAGUAUUUGAGACUAAGUAAUAGAAAAGUUAGAGAAUAACUAAAUGCCUGAGGGUAUGGACAGUAAGACUUUCAGAAGUGAAAAUAUUGAUAUUUAUGUAUUAAAGAAACUUAAUUCUUUGUUGAAGGAGGAAAUCAGGAGGAUCUUCUUCUACUCCUUGUUCACUGUAAUCAAGUCUUUUAGAUGGUAUUUCUAAAAAGUCUCCAAAUAAGAUCAACCAUUUUCUUCUCUGUGCCAAUUCAAUACAAUGUAUCAGCACAAUGUCAUGUGCCAAUGUGAGAGAACAAAAUCAUUGACUACAAAUCCCUAUUCCUACUGAGUCUCUCCUAGCAGGACAGAUUUUGUCUUUGGGUUGGAUCUGGAUUUUCUUUUAAAUAGAUUAGUAUUUCUAUUUUUUUUGCAUUACCUAGAUUUCUCACUUUAUCUUUUUCCUUUUCUCAGAGAGUCAUCUUUCACACCAAAGAGUUUUUUAAUCAAAAAAUAUAAAGGAAAAAAGCAGUGUUUUGGUAAAAUUUGUCAAUACAUAUAAUAAAAAUCUGAUAGUAUAUACAAGUUUUACUGUCAUGGAUAUUUUCACUUCUUCAAGAGUGGGAAAGUUAUCUCUUCAUAUAUCUUCUUUGGGAGCAUGUGUUUUCUUAAUUCUGAAGUAUUAAUUUUAAUUUUUACCAUUUUCUAUUUCCAAUCUCAUUUUCAUGCUAUUUAGAUCUUGGUUUUUAGAUUUGUUUCUUAAGUGGAACACAUUCUAGAAAUUUUUUUUUUCAUUCCAUGUACAUGAUUGUAAUCUCCGUUUAUGUUGUUUUCCCUCUCUGCUUAUUCCUUCUUUGCAUCAGUACCUAGAAAUAUUUUUAUGCUUCACUGUAUUCAUUAUGUUCAUCAUUUCCUUCAGCAAAAUAUUAUUCCAUUAUACCUAAUUGCCACCAUUUGUUCAGCCCAGGCUCCAUUUGAUGGGAUACUGAGUUUCCAGGUCCUUGUUUCUACAAAGAAGUGCUAUUAUGAAUAUUUUAAUAUAAAAGAGAACCUUUAUUUUUGUCAACGAUCUCUUUAAUGUAUAUCAGUGAAUCUCUGAAUCAAAGGGUAUAGCCGAUUUAUUUGCACAAUUCCAGAUUGAUUUUUAAAAUAAAAUUGAACUAAUUCACAGUUCUACCAACAAUGCACGAGUGUGCCUGUUUUUCUAUAGUCUCUCUUACAUAGACUAUUUCUAUUAUUUGUCAAUUUGUUGGAUGUGGGGUGAAACCUCAGGGUCAUUUUUAUUUAAAUCUAUCUUACCCUUAGAUAUUUGAAGCAUUAUUUCAUAUGCUUGUUUAUAUACUUUCAUCAUUUAUCAAUUGGGGAAUGGCUCUUGGUCCUUUAUAUUUUGGUCAUUUGUCUAUGCAUCUUGUAUAUCAAACCCUUAUCAGAGAUAUUCAAUACAAUAAUACUCCUCUUUUCUUAUUCUAGAUAUGUUAAUUUCAUUUGCACAAAACCUUUUCAAUUUCAUUCGAUAUUCCUAUUCUUAUUUUCUUAUCUAUGUCCUUUUGAAGUUUACUUAACAUACCCCUUAUUAAUUCAGACAAUAAAACUUUUGGACAGCUUGAGUUUGAUAUGGAUAUUACUUUAUCAUUUUUGAUUUUGUUAAGCAUCAUGUAAUCUCUUUGUCUAUCUUUGCUCAUGAUGUGGAAUUUUAUUUUUCCUUUGUCUGAUAGUGGGAUACAAUUCCUGCUUUCUUGGUUUCACCUGAUGCAUAGUAAAUUUUUUCUAGACUUUCUUGUCCUUAUGACACCA